rnacentral:rRNA from 1 species
AUGGACCAAUCCAUCCCUUUUUCCCGUGCAUAUGCAUCGGACUCGGAUGACGACAGCCCCGAUGAAGAAGUUGAUGAGGAGGGGUUCACGCCGAAGGAGGCCCAAGCAUUCAAGAAGGUAUUCGGGCGGGAUCACAAGACACCAUUGUUCAAGGAUCUUAGUCUCGCGGAUGAAGCCGUUGUGGAUGGUGGCAAAUGCAUAUCUCUUGGAGCUAGGCCAAGUUCUCAC